UCCGGUUGAUCCUGCCAGAGGCCGCUGCUAUCCGGCUGGGACUAAGCCAUGCUAGUCUAGGGGCUUGUACUCCUUCGGGGGUGCAAGCACCGGCGGACGGCUCAGUAACACGUGGACAACCUGCCCUCGGGUGGGGGAUAACCCCGGGAAACUGGGGCUAAUCCCCCAUAGGUGAUGGGUGCUGGAAUGCCCCAUCUCCGAAAGCGCUUAGCGCCCGAGGAUGGGUCUGCGGCGGAUUAGGUAGUUGGUGGGGUAACGGCCCACCAAGCCUAAGAUCCGUACGGGCUGUGGGAGCAGGAGCCCGGAGAUGGACCCUGAGACAAGGGUCCAGGCCCUACGGGGCGCAGCAGGCGCGAAACCUCCGCAAUGCGCGAAAGCGCGACGGGGGGACCCCGAGUGCC
rnacentral:rRNA from 1 species